UGAUGGAAACACGCCUGAAGGAGGUCCGGGAGAUCGUAGUGCUCCGCUGCGCAGAUCAGGCCUGGAAUGUUGCUGCAGGUCAGGGAACAGGAACCUGUGUGCAGUUGUAGCAUGAGUCGAACGUACUACUGCAAUCCUGAGAGCUGAGCCAGCGUUUGCGAUCCUCGCUCUGCAGGGUGUUCCCGCCGCCAUGUUUCCGGAUGCUCCUGCUCCAGCCAGCCGUGAUCGUUCCAAUCCUCGAGAACGCGCGCUUCACCAUCGGCGACGAGGGCACGCUUUUGGGUCUAAACAGCCGCUGCGCCGAUGCCGCCGUCUAUGGAUUGCUGGGAUUGUCUACGUCUGUGAUGACGGCAGUUAUGCUUCCUUUCACCCGGGCUGGGGGUCUGUCCAGCGACCACCGAGUCCCUCCUGGACCUCGCGCUCUCCCCAGAACCGCGACGGGAAUUCCGCAACUCCGCCGAGCCUGCAAGAGCGAAAUUGUCCUUCAGGAAAUUUCAGAGGAAUUUCUUAUUCCAUCGUUAACACUAUGUCUACGUAACAGUCAUCUCGACGCAUUCCUAUUUUCACCUGACGCCAACGGCAGCUAUCUUCAUCCAAUUAGACGUCAAGCAUCAUUUGGCAAGAUUAGCGCGAUAAACAGCAAUUUUCCA